CUACGUGCCAGCAGCCGCGGUAAUACGGAGGGUGCGAGCGUUAAUCGGAAUAACUGGGCGUAAAGGGCACGCAGGCGGUGACUUAAGUGAGGUGUGAAAGCCCCGGGCUCAACCUGGGAACUGCGUUCUGAACUGGGUGACUAGAGUGUGUCAGAGGGAGGUAGAAUUCCACGUGUAGCAGUGAAAUGCGUAGAGAUGUGGAGGAAUACCGAUGGCGAAGGCAGCCUCCUGGGAUAACACUGACGUUCAUGCCCGAAAGCGUGGGUAGCAAACAGGAUUAGAUACCCUGGUAGUCCACGCCCUAAACGAUGUCGAUUAGCUGUUGGGCAGCAUGACUGCUUAGUAGCGAAGCUAACGCGUGAAAUCGACCGCCUGGGGAGUACGGUCGCAAGAUUAAAACUCAAAGGAAUUGACGGGGACCCGCACAAGCGGUGGAUGAUGUGGAUUAAUUCGAUGCAACGCGAAGAACCUUACCUGGUCUUGACAU
rnacentral:rRNA from 1 species